GAUGAACGCUGGCGGCGUGCCUAAUACAUGCAAGUAGAACGCUGAAGAGAGGAGCUUGCUCUUCUUGGAUGAGUUGCGAACGGGUGAGUAACGCGUAGGUAACCUGCCUUGUAGCGGGGGAUAACUAUUGGAAACGAUAGCUAAUACCGCAUAACAAUGGAUGACACAUGUCAUUUAUUUGAAAGGGGCAAUUGCUCCACUACAAGAUGGACCUGCGUUGUAUUAGCUAGUAGGUGAGGUAACGGCUCACCUAGGCGACGAUACAUAGCCGACCUGAGAGGGUGAUCGGCCACACUGGGACUGAGACACGGCCCAGACUCCUACGGGAGGCAGCAGUAGGGAAUCUUCGGCGAUGGGGGCAACCCUGACCGAGCAACGCCGCGUGAGUGAAGAAGGUUUUCGGAUCGUAAAGCUCUGUUGUAAGUCAAGAACGAGUGUGAGAGUGGAAAGUUCACACUGUGACGGUAGCUUACCAGAAAGGGACGGCUAACUACGUGCCAGCAGCCGCGGUAAUACGUAGGUCCCGAGCGUUGUCCGGAUUUAUUGGGCGUAAAGCGAGCGCAGGCGGUUUGAUAAGUCUGAAGUUAAAGGCUGUGGCUCAACCAUAGUUUGCUUUGGAAACUGUCAAACUUGAGUGCAGAAGGGGAGAGUGGAAUUCCAUGUGUAGCGGUGAAAUGCGUAGAUAUAUGGAGGAACACCGGUGGCGAAAGCGGCUCUCUGGUCUGUAACUGACGCUGAGGCUCGAAAGCGUGGGGAGCGAACAGGAUUAGAUACCCUGGUAGUCCACGCCGUAAACGAUGAGUGCUAGGUGUUGGAUCCUUUCCGGGAUUCAGUGCCGCAGCUAACGCAUUAAGCACUCCGCCUGGGGAGUACGACCGCAAGGUUGAAACUCAAAGGAAUUGACGGGGGCCCGCACAAGCGGUGGAGCAUGUGGUUUAAUUCGAAGCAACGCGAAGAACCUUACCAGGUCUUGACAUCCCGAUGCUAUUUCUAGAGAUAGAAAGUUACUUCGGUACAUCGGUGACAGGUGGUGCAUGGUUGUCGUCAGCUCGUGCCGUGAGAUGUUGGGUUAAGUCCCGCAACGAGCGCAACCCCUAUUGUUAGUUGCCAUCAUUCAGUUGGGCACUCUAGCGAGACUGCCGGUAAUAAACCGGAGGAAGGUGGGGAUGACGUCAAAUCAUCAUGCCCCUUAUGACCUGGGCUACACACGUGCUACAAUGGUUGGUACAACGAGUUGCAAGUCGGUGACGGCAAGCUAAUCUCUUAAAGCCAAUCUCAGUUCGGAUUGUAGGCUGCAACUCGCCUACAUGAAGUCGGAAUCGCUAGUAAUCGCGGAUCAGCACGCCGCGGUGAAUACGUUCCCGGGCCU
rnacentral:rRNA from 1 species